rnacentral:rRNA from 1 species
UCCAAUCGAACUCGGAGAUAGCUGGUUCUCCUCGAAAUAGCUUUAGGGCUAGCCUCGAGCUGGAGUCUAACGGAGGUAAAGCACUGAACUGACGCGGGGCCCAAAAAGGUUACCAACUCAUAUCAAACUAAGAAUGCCGUCAAGAUACCCUCGGGAGUCAGUCUGCGUGAGAUAAGUCGCGUGGACAAAAGGGAAAGAGCCCAGACCGACAGCUAAGGUCCCAAAGUACGUGUUAAGUGGAAAAGGAUGUGGGAUUUCAUAGACAACUAGGAUGUUGGCUUAGAAGCAGCCAUACAUUUAAAGAGUGCGUAAUAGCUCACUAGUCGAGAAAACCUGCGCCGAAAAUGUAACGGGGCUAAAACACGACACCGAAGCUACGGAUUUCCUACAAGGUAGGAAGUGGUAGAGGAGCAUCCUGCAAGGACGAAGCCAAAGUGAGAGCGAUGGUGGACGAAACAGGAGAGAGAAUGCCGGAAUGAGUAGCGAGAUACAUGUGAGAAACAUGUAGGCCGAAUAUCUAAGGAUUCCUGGGUAAAGCUAAUCUUCCCAGGGUUAGUCGGGGCCUAAGGCGAGGACGAAAGUCGUAGUCGAUGGAUAACAGGUUGAUAUUCCUGUACUACACAUAAUCAGAACUGUGGGGACGCAGGAGGAUAGGGAAACCGGGGAAUGGAAAGACCCGGUCAAGCGUAAAGCUGUGGGAGAUAGGCAAAUCCGUCUCCUGUAAGUGAAACGUGAUGAGGACUGAAAAAAAGUAAGGAAGUUUCCGAAUCCACACUGCCGAGAAAAGCCGCUAUUGCGUUAUGUGUACCCGUACCGUAAACCGACACAGGUAGAUGAGGAGAAAAUCCACAGGCCGACGGGAGAAGUGUUGUUAAGGAACUCGGCAAAAUGACCCCGUAACUUCGGGAUAAGGGGAGCCUCGCAAGAGGCCGCAGAAAAGAGGCACAAGCAACUGUUUAGCAAAAACAUAGGUCUAUGCGAAACCGUAAGGUGAAGUAUAUGGGCUGACGCCUGCCCGGUGCUGGAAGGUUAAAAGGAGAGGUCAGCGCAAGCGAAGCUUUGAAUUCAAGCCCCAGUAAACGGCGGCCGUAACUAUAACGGUCCUAAGGUAGCGAAAUUCCUUGUCAGGUAAGUUCUGACCCGCACGAAAGGCGUAAUGAUUUGUGCACUGUCUCGACAACACGCCCGGUGAAAUUGAAGAACCAGUGAAGAUACUGGUUACCCGCAACAGGACGGAAAGACCCCAUGGAGCUUUACUGCAGCCUGAUACUGGGAUUCGAUGAUAUAUGAGGAGAUCGAGAAGUUGAUCGCUUAUUUGAAUGAGAUUCUGGAGAAUGAGGACCUUUGUAUGAAGGUUAUCAAAGAUGAAUUAUUGGAAAUCAAGGAUAAAUUUGGCGACGAACGUAAGACGGAUAUCGUUUACGCCUCUGAGGAAUUAAAUCCGGAGGAUUUCUAUGCGGAUGAUGAGAUGAUCAUUACCGUAUCUCAUAUGGGAUAUAUCAAACGUACCCCGUUGAGUGAGUUCCGUGCGCAAGGCCGUGGUGGUGUAGGAGCGAAGGGUUCCGAGACUAGAGACGAGGAUUUCGUUGAGUAUAUCUAUCCGGCAUCCAUGCACGCGACCUUAUUAUUCUUCACGGCAAAAGGUAAAUGUUAUUGGUUGAAGGUAUUCGAGAUUCCGGAAGGGGCUAAGAACGCUAAAGGACGUGCGAUCCAGAAUCUUCUGAAUAUCGAGCCGGAUGAUAAGGUACAAGCUUUUAUACGUGUUAAGAAAUUAACCACCGAUACGGAAUUCAUUAAUUCUCAUUACCUAUUAUUCUGUACGAAGAAAGGUGUGAUCAAAAAGACUUUGUUGGAGGCCUAUUCCCGUCCUCGUCAAAACGGUGUGAACGCUAUUACAUUGCGUGAAGACGAUGGCUUGAUCCAAGUAUGUAUGACGAAUGGUAACAACGAGGUGAUCAUAGCGAACCGUAACGGCCGGGCGAUCCGUUUCC